rnacentral:lncRNA from 1 species
CUUCGUGCUGAUAAAGUGUUAUAAAACUUUAGCAAAGUGUAAAAAGAUAUUCUUAUUAUUUCAUAAAUUUAGAGAGAAUAAGUAAAAAAUAAAGAGAAAUCAUUCAGAGAAAUUCUUAUUUUCUUCAGUAUCAUUUUCUUUAUAUAGGAAAAGGAUAAGUCACGGGGAGAGAGAAAAAGUUCACGAGAGAAGAAGAAAGGAGAGGGGAGAGUGACGGAGUGAACCUGAGGGAAUCACUUUAUAACAAAACACUUUUUAUUGACACCCAUACCCAAGUAGAAUUACAUUUGUACAAAAACAAUGUGACAUCAGUAUAAUAAUCUAUUGUAUUAUACGACACUAUUACAUUGAUCAGAAGUAGAAAUAAUCAAUAUUUCAAUCUCAAAGUGUUGUAUUAGACCUGUCAAACGGCCGGUCAAGCUCAAACGGGGGUAUGCCAUGUUUGUGUCGAGUCAAAGAUGGGCCGAGCCUAAAGGGCGCAGUUGAAAUGAGAGGGGUAAAUAUAGAAAUGAAAAUGGGCAGCAGCACGUAGACAAAGUUGGAAAUGAAAGGAUAUGGAAAGGGAGAUCAGUCAUUGAUAAACCACUUGAAAAUCAGCACACUCCAACUAUAAGAAGAGCAGAAAUCAGUAAAAUAGAUUAUGUGUUUUGAAGAAAAGAAAGUUACUUGAAACAAAAAUAAACGGUUCAAAUUUUGGAAACAUCAUUAAUAAAUCUAAUGGAAUCAAAUCGCAUGACCAUAGAUUUUGUGUAAAACUUAACAUUCCAUUCCGGCAUGAGCAGUCAAUUUCCCAUGGGCAACCAGAGGUAUAAGAGCCCAAUGCAUCCAUAAAUACAGAUAUCCAAAACAUUUAGGCUGGUUGGCAAAUUAAAAUAGGAUUAAUGGAAAAGGAAAACAAAACAAAAUAAAACGUAAAUAAAAAAAAAGAUGAUGCUAGGAGUAUCAAAUUUUGUCUCAAAAAAAUUCACAAAUAAUGUGUCACCAUAAUCUCAUUUGAUUGGUUAUGCUAUAAAUUAUCAUUAAAAUAUUUAAUGUUGUGUCAUUUGAGACAAAAUUUAAAUCCCUAACAUUACUCAUAAAAAAUAGACCUGCCUGCUAAACAUAAUUCUAACUAUAUCUAGUCUUACAAAUAUAUCCUUUUGACAUCAUUACCUUUUCAUUUUUAUUUUUACUUCCACCCUCAUAUUUACUAAAUUUCAAACACAGCCCAAGAAAUCAGUAAAACCAACAACCCACUAUCCUAAUUCACGAACCACCAUAUCAAUAGUACUCUCUCUUUAAAUCUCUCUUUAAACUUUGAUAAAGCACCCAUCAAGUCGCAUAACUUUUCUUUCUAAAGUCAGUUCAGCACAACUAACAUCAUAGCCGAGAUAGAGAUCUACAAGACAUCUAAAAACCCAUAAAAUUGAUAAUUGACAUAUGUAAUAUAUAUACCUUUUAUGCUCAUACUUGUUCCCAAAUUCCGAUUUAAAAUAAAAUGAUUGAAAGUGGCCAAACCAGCUCUACCAUGUGAUUCACAACAUGCAACAUAUGUGUACUAUAAUGUUCAAUUUACCAUAUUCUUGGUAGAUGAAAGGGAUGAUAAUAAUUUGUACCUCUAGAUUACGCAGGAUAAAUACUCACUGCAAAAUCAUGUCACUGUGUGAAGGUAACAACUAAUAAUUAUUUGUCAUACAUCAAAAUAAAAAAUACUUGUACCUUCCUUGCCAAUUAUGAUAGAAAAGUAUGUGAUAUAGGGCAAGCUAAACUCAAAGAAAAGAAAGAAAAGGGAUAAGCUAGGCUUCAAACGUAGGGUUCUUAGGUCUCACACCCAAGGAAAAGAUUCAUUCACAUAUUACUCAAAUAAAUCUAUUUAUAGGAUUCCAUAAUCUUUCUAGCACCUUAGAUACACUGGACCUAUCUAAUUAAUGCAUGUAUGACUUUUUGAUGGAUACAGCUCUAAAAUUGAUAAUUGAUAUAUCUAAUAGAUAUAUAUAUAUAUAUAUAUAUAUAUAUAUAUAUAAUAUAUAUAUAUAAUAUAUAUAUACCUUUUAUGCUCAUACUUGUUCCGAAAUUCCGAAUUAAAAUAAAAUGAUUGGAAGUGACCAAACCAGCUCUACCAUGUGAUUCACAUGUAACAUGCAUACUGUAUGUUCAAUUUACCAUAUUCUUAGUAGAUGAAAGGGAUCAGAAUUUGUACCUCAAGAUUCCACAGGAGUGAAGGUAACAGCUAAUAAUAAUUUGUCACAUGUCAAAAUACAAAAUACUUAUACCUACCUUGUCAAUUGUCAUGACCUCUGAAAAGAAGGUAGAUGAGAAGUCUACAUCAAAGCAAAUUCUCAUGUCUAACGUUGACACCUCUCAAUAUGUAAACCCACUCAAGUUGCGAGAAGAUACACAUACCUUGAGUCAAAAACUUAGCUGGCUUUUCCUCGGCUAAAUGAUGAAUAACAAGUUUCGUACAGCAUUGAGUUAUUUUGUCAGUCGAUGUCUCCUACCUGUCAAAUAAUUCAGUACUGCACAAAAUUACUAUUUGUAUACUUUAAACCAUUAGACGUAAAUCAGUGCAGUACACGGACUAAUACAUUCACAUUUUACUGGACAAAAAAAUGCAACAGUUGUGAUAGAAAGGCAUGUGAUGUAGGGAAAGCUAAACAAAAAGGAAUGAAAAAGAAGGAAAAGAGAAAAUGGAUAAAUUAAACUAGGCGUCACACCUAGGGUUCUUAGGCCUCACACCCAAGGAAAAGAUGCAUCACACAUCAAACAAAAUCAAAAAAUUUCAUUCAAAUUAGCUCAAAUAAAUCUAUUAAUAGGAGUCCAUAGCACCAUAGAUACAUUGAAACUAUGUAAUUAAUGCAUCUAUGUGACUUUUUGACUGAAUACAUGCAUUAAUGACCGACACAAAAUACAUAACGCAAUAAUUAAACUGAUAAAUUCUUUAGACCAGCUCUAAAUCAGUGUCCUUCCCGAAAGUAACUGGAGAAUCAAAUCGGCUCCUUCGUUUAUAGUGUUUUCCACACCUCUCAUGCAUUUCUACAUCAGUAUGAGCAUAGAUUAACAAAAGUUAUACAUGUACAAGUGAGCAGAAAGAAAAUAACACCAGGAGAUUGGCCAAAACAUAAAGCUUUUUUGAAUCAAUUAGAGUGAUAGAACUAACACACUUUGUGCAGGGGGGGAGCAAGGGAGUUGAACAGCAAUGUCAACAAAGCAACCUGCUUUGGUCAUGGAGAUGCCACCAGAUGAGAUCUCCUUAGCUUGUUGCUGGCAGAUUUGUUGGGUACUAGUUUUGUUAGGCCUCGUGUCUGAGCUUGUUACUUUCUUGUAUUACAGGGUUAAAAGGAGAAAAUAAUUAAUCAUAAAAGUGAAAUCCUAGUAGAGAUCACAAAGAAACUUAAUCCCAGUAUGGACAUUUAAACUGAAGAUAUUAGUGUUGUUUGUUACUGUUUAAAACCCUGCGGUAACAAAAGGUACUAAGGUCUCCUUUGAAGACUAAGGGGGUGUUUGUUUAGAGCAGAAUGGCUGAAGGAUUGAAUGGCUGAAUCGAUCAGUACGUUUGUUUUGGUCUGAAUGGCUGAAUCGGUAAAAUGGACGAACUGAAUGACCAAGUCAGAAUUUUUUAGCUGAAUGAAGUAAAAAAAAAAAAAUUAAUUUUAAAAAAAAAUAUUAACUAUUAUAUUAAAUAAAUUUACAACAAUUUUGAAUUUUUUCAGAGGGGUAAAAUAAUAAAAUUUUGUCAUUCAGAUGUUUUAGACAUGUCAAUUAUCAAACAGCUUUUUUCAUUCAGAUUUAGAUUCAACUCAUUCAGAUUCAGAUUCAAAUUCAGCUCAUUCAGAUUUAGAUUCAUUCAUUUUUUAUCAAACACCCCCCAAGUCUAGACAAAAACAGAACAGACUGAAUAAUAGAUUACAUGAAAAUAUUAAAUAAAGAAAACAAAAGAAGUAUAAAGCACUUAUCAACAAUUUUAAUUACACAAUCAAAUGUCAGAACUUGAUUGACAUAGUAUCAUAAAUUUUUAUAUGUGAUAGGGGGUAUGACGAGCAACUAUAUUUUGCAAGAUUCUAUUAUCUAUACAAGCCCACGGAGCAUAAAAUAAUGCAAUUUUAUUAAGUGUGACCUACAAUGAUACAGUUUUAAUGCUGACAAAGUUAAUGAAUAUAAUCUCACAGCCUCUGCAUAUGGUUCUAGAAUCUUACUUUUCCCGCUUAUCCUAUAAGUAACAUAUUACCCAAUAUUUGAAAUCUCUGCAAAAUAAAAGAGGGGCAGCAAUGAAGAUACCCCAGCUUCUCUUCAGAUUUCAAUUAGAAAAAUUUACUCAAGAUUACAAAUAAAUGCAUAAAAGCAAGUUAAGAAAUCAAAUUGUAGCCUAUAUAUAAAAUUUCACAGUCCAGCCAUAAUCAAGCCAAGUAUGACAUGUUUUUUGCCCUGUAUUGUUUUCAUGCAAGACAAUAAAAAGUAUGCACAUGUUGAUCAAUUUACUGUUUCUGGAAUCCAAUAAAUAGAGGAACAAAUAGAGAAGCCCUGUAAAUGUUGAGCGUUCACAAACAACACAGCUAACGCAGCCAGUUACAAUAACAUAUAGCAACUCCAAAGAAAGAUAAAGUGAAAAAAGCUAUUAAACAACCUAGUUCUGGAAUAUCUUUCAAUUACUUUUUUGACAAGUUAGUCUCUAAAAUUCACUUAGUUCAUUAUUAUAAUCCUUCAAUUAGUUACCGUACUCGUAGUAACUAUGAACUUCAAUGUAUUUUAAAUCUUUUUUCUUUUAGAUAGGUCAGAGACAUCCAAAGAUAUGGAAUAAAAUGAAAUACUGAUUAAAUCAAAUCUAAGAAUGUUAUCUUACAGAUUCUUUUAAAUCAAAUAAAGGAUAGUUCCAAGUUGAAAUGAUCAGCACGACUCCAAAGGUUCAGACAUGAAUUCUGCCGAGGAUGGAUUGUUUUGCCUGAAGGUUCUGCCAAGAAGAAGUCAAGACAUACCAAUGAAUUUAAUACUUCAAACUACAAGCCUUGCAGAAAGAACACCAUGCAUCUCUAUCCAAGAUGAUCACAGCUUAGAAAACAAAGAGAAGUAUGCUUUCUUUUUUCUGGGUUAUGAAUGGAGGGAAAGACAUGCAUACAAUUUCCAAACAAAUAAUUUCUCCAAGUACAGUUGAUAUCUAAUCAAGUUAUAUAUAGUAAUUGAUAGUAAAAUGAACAAAGAGAAACUCACAAAACAACUCAAAGACAUUUUAAUCAGCUAAAAUCUUUAGACAGAACUCCAAGGACAAGUGUUGCUACAAGCUGAUUAACUAACCGUAUUAUGUAAAUGCUUCUUACUUGUAGCAACCAUAGCAGCAACACCAUCACAAAUUCAUUAUCAGCAGCUUAUCACAACACAUGUGAUCAUGCAACACUCACAAUACGUACAACUGCUCUUUCCUUUUUUACACAUGAAGCUGUGAUAGAAUAAAGAUUAUUCAGACAUGACAAGACGAGUUAUAACACAAAAUUAUCUACACUCUAAUUUAAUGCAUCUGAAGUUCAACAUGUUACAUGUCCAGUCUUAUAAAUAUCAAUUAUCAUUAAGAUUCACCGGUUCUCUUGGUACACAGACGAUGAAAAUAGUCAAAAUGCUCAUAGAAUAUUCUGACAGUGAAUAGCAUCUUGUAACACCUAAGACCGAUUUUCUCCAAAAAUGGAGACUGGAGACGGCUUUUCAAAAACCAAAUUGAUAUGCCCAAGUCUAUUAUGCAUUUAUAAUCAGGAUAUAUAAUUCAAUUAUUGUUUAGCUCAUUACCUUUCAGAAUUCACGAUACAAUAUGGAAAUAAAAGUCAUGUAACAUUAUAUAGUUUGUUUUUUUGGGUAAAUAAUUUUAACAUUAUAUUAACAAGUGAGAUUGUCAAUAAGACUUGACACAAGACCACCACUUAAGUCCUUUUGAACAUAACACUUUAAUUUUCGUUAGAUUCUCUUUGUUUGAGGUACACAUGCAAACACUCGUUUCAUGUUUCUAUAUACAAAUACAUCAACUAAAAAUUACUGUAAAUCUUUUGCGUGCUUGAGUUAUGCUAAUUUUGUAUCUUUAUCCAACUUUGGAUUCAAACAAAUCUAUAACUCUUUUAAGUACAAAAUAUUUACUCCCACCGUCCCAGGAUAAAAGUCCUUAUUACUAUUUGGGUAGUCCCAUGUUAAAUGUCCACUUUCCUUUAAUAACCAAACUUUUAUAUAAUUUUCCUAUUAUACCCUUAGCAUUAAAUAUCUCAUAUUUUUCUUAUGCUAAUUCUCUCUUCAUAUUCAAUAAGUAUAAUUAGUUAGGUAUAUUUUGAAUUGAAAAGCUAGAAAGUCACUCUGUCACCUACAUUGAAAAUGAUUAAUGACAUUAUUAUGAACAAUUUUGUCAUUUCAUUCUUCUUCUUAAUAUGCGUGAAAAGUCCACCAGGACUUCUGGGACGGAGAGAGUAAUAUAAAGCCUAAGUAGUUCAGCUACUUCGUGUUAACACGAUUAACACGAAGCAGCUGAAGUCAGACGGCUUUAAAAUAAGAUGAUCCAUUACAAGUAGUAGGUCCCCUGUGGUACACAUUCUAUAUCCCAAUGAAUGGCUGCAGAUGAGAUAAGACUCCAUAGCCAAUUGUGGCUAUGAUGUUUAUAUAUAUAUAUAUAUAUAUAUAUAUAUAUAUAUAUAUAUAUAGCCACAGUUGUAAGGAUAACUAUAGUUUUACAACACAUCACUUGUCGUUCAAAAUUUGAUCGAAUGGCCAGAUAUUCCUAUAGUCCGCAAUUUAGUUUGGCAGACAUUCCCAAACUAAACUGUGGACAUAAGUUAAAUAUUCAGUUCAUCCACAGCUUAAUUAUGCGGACAAUGAUUACUGUCCACAAUUAAAUUAUGUGGAUGAUGAUAACUUUUAAGAUAGGACUCUAUUUCUUGUAUUAGGAAGUGGAAAUAUGAUUUGUGUUGUUAGCUUGAAUCUUGUUUUGUUUUUGUGAUAGACCACAUGAAAAUCAAUUGUUGUACAAAUACUAUUUAAGUGGCAAGAUAUAUUCACCUAGUCUAUGUCCUUUUCACUAUAAAGGGAGACAAUUUUUUAUCGCUACAGUUUCAAUGAACUAUAAAAAGGAGAAGACUAUGAAAUAUGUGGCAAGUAUUCAUGGCUUCCCAUUUUACCCUCCAACUCUAUUAUUCCUUCCGUAUUUUAUCCUCACCUUUUUCCUCCCCCUCUUUUACCCUCAAAAGUUUGGAAAGGUUUAAUGAUAUUCAUAUUUUAUCAUAUAUAGAUAAAUUCUUAAUUUUUACAAUUAAUGAUAUAAUAAAAAAUACACCACGCAUAUGCAAAAUGGGCUAGAUAAUUAAGAUUAUUAUAUUAUAACUUAAUUUAUGUUUCAUAUAAUAGUGAGAUAUAAUACUCCCUCCAUUCCACAAAAAGAGUCUCAUUUGACUUUGAUCCUAGUUAAUUUGUGAAAUCCUAAAAUUAAAAUUGCGAUAUGAAUUUAUUUUAAUUUUGAAAUAACAAUUUUGUACUUGGUUAUACUUUUUAAGUAGUUUACAAUUUAACUAUUUUAUCAUUCACAAUCAAAUAAAGUCACAUUAAUUCUUAAAUUUUAGAAUUUCCCGUAUUGACACAGAAAAAAUAAUCAAAUGAGACUCUUUUAGUGGAAUGGAGGGAGUAUUAUAUUAACUAUAUAAAGUAUCUUUUAUGGGAUAAUAAAAGAUAUACAAGAUUAUGUUAAUGAUAUAAUAUAAUCUUUCAUAUAUUAAUAAUUAAUAAUAUAUAUUAUGCAAGAAUAAUCUUUUACAAUACUCUUUUAUAUAUCCUUAAUAUAAAAGUUCAAAUUUAACAAUAAAAUAUUUAUUAUAAAGUCGGAGCAUUUCAGUUGCUUUGUGUUAGCACGAAACAGCUGAACUAAGACAACUUUAUAAUAAGAUGAUCCAUUAUAAUUACUACCCGUCUAACCCCCCAACCCCAACCCCAACCCCUUUUCUCCUUCUCUCUCGACACACAUCCUAUUUCCCAAUAAAUGGCUGCUAAUGAGUUGGCUAUAUAAGCCUCUUGGGUAUGGCUGAGUUAGAUAGAUAAACCAAGUAUUUGCCAACUGGCUGUUUGGGUAGCUAUACUCGUAUGUUUCCUUCUUUUUAUUUUGUAUUUGGAUGGGAAAGACAAACUAUGUUUCACUCUUGGUUUCAGUCUUUGUGUUUUGAGCUUGGGUGGGGAUCACAAACUAACAAUUCCAUAUUAUAUAUAGGACGCUCACACGAGCAGCUGUACUGAGGCGACUUUAUAAUAAGAUGAUCUAUUAUAAGUACUAGCCCCUUGAGGAACAUGUCCUAUUUCAUUAGGAAUGGUUGCAGAUGAGUUGGCUAGAUAAGACUCUAUAGCUAAUUGCGACUAUGGAUCAGUCGAUAUAUAUAGUGAGGUGAUUCAUAACAAAUGUUGGCUAUAACACUAUUUGGAGAAACACAAAGAUUGUCCAUAGAAGAAACGGUCGGUCCAAAAAAAAAUUAUAAAAAAAAGUGCUAUCCACAAAAAAAGUAACAGGUACAAUUAAGAUUUCUUUCUCAAAAACCUAAUCAAUCAUUAAAAAUUAUGGCAUUUCCAUCAGCAAUUCAAAGGUUUGGAUUAUGUAGUUUUAUAAUAAGAUUAGUCUUUACUUCAUAACUUUAGCUAUCGUUCUUAUAUACCCUUUUUGUUCUUGUUUGCUACUUAAUUAUUUUGACAUAUUGUUCCGAUGAUUACAUUUAUUUUACAUUUUUAAAAUAUAAACAUUCAAUAAAAAUGUUAGCACCUCAAGGCUUUUGGCUGUCCUCGUGAAGAGCGGAACAUAUCACCUCUAAAAAUAUAGAGUUCAUUUUCUAGAGAUAGCCACUAGACUCAUUAUGCAUGUUCAGUUUACUUCCAAAUCCAGAGAAGCAUCAUAAAAGCUUCGCCUUUUCUACUAUUAACAUUACUUCUAGAAAAUGAUACCAAAUGCUUCUUCAUUUUUCUCAUUCACUCUGGUUUGUGCAACCCCUAUGUUGGGGUAUGAGAUAGAAGUUUAGCAUUAAUUAAAACUAUACAUAAAAGAGAACAAAGUAUUCAAAUAUAAAGAAAAAUCAUUAAUCAUCUUCUACAUGCAUGCACCAAUAGUCCAAUAGACGAUAAUAAAUCUUGUAUUUUUUUACAUGUAUGCAUAUUCAAGAAAUUUAAGAAAAAAUUAUUAUACCUCACAGAUGCAAGUUUCUAAUUCAGGCCUGGGGAGGUCCCGGUGGAGACCUCUGACAGUAUCUGCCUCUUUUAAAUCAUCUUGAAGAGACCUUUCCAGUGUGCCACUCGACGUUCACAGAUUUUGGUCUUGCCAGAGUUUAAUCCUCCACAGAUCCUUACUAGAAGGUUAGCUCUUUCAGUCAAAAGGGAGAUUUCCUAAAAGCAUAUCUGUAAACCGCUCAGUACUUAAUACAUCAGGUAUAAGAAUAAGUUUUAGUUUUUAGAAAUACUUUAAACGGAUCACUUAAUGGCCAAUCACUGAUUUCAAUUAGCUUUAUCAUAUCGAAAUCUGAAACCUGAAUCUAUCUAAUUUAGCCUAAUAGAACGAGUAUAAAAACAUGUUUUAGUCAUUAGAAAUACAUUUAAACGGAUAACUUACUGGUCAAAUCAUUAUUUGGAUAGCUUCUUCAAACUGCAAUCUGAACACACAGAUCUAUCAAAUUAGCCUGUUGGCAAGAGACACCAACUAUUUAUUGAAACCUAAUCAUUGCAGACGUAAAAACACUUUACUAUGCUCUCAACUUAUAGUUAUAGUGCAUAACAUAACCUAAUUUCAUAACUGCUACAUCGUCCGACCUAUUUUAUUUAUUAAAUAACAAACACACACAAACAUAGAGCAUGAAAGCAGUGAUACAAUUCCCAAAGUACAACCAUCUACUAAAUUUCUACCUUAUUUUAAUAAUAUUCCUCAACUUCAUGUAAAUACCAGCUCUUUAGCCUCGCCAAGCUAGUACUGCAUGCCUCUUUAGUCCCGCACUUGAAAGUGGAAAAUACUAUAUCCUAAAAAGAGGAUUACCCCAAUCCUUGUGGAUGUUUUAGAUAUUUACCCACCAAAACACCAAUCUAUUUUGAGAUAGGCCCUUAAAUAUAGAACAAUAAUAUGCUGCAUCACAAAAUCUUCACUGUUCCAUGACGUAUAGGCAUUCCAGCCAGUUGUAGUGGUGGAAGGUCAAUGCAUAUAUUUCAAGUUUAUUGUUAUUAUCAUUAUAAGACGAGCACUCCACGUGUCCACAAUUACUAUCAGAAAGGUAUUAAAGUCAAUUUCCUUUCAUUGAAAGAAAGAACUUGUCGCAUCAAAUAAGAUGGAAAAAGCUUUGUGAAAAACCAAAUGAAAGUAAAGAUAACUUUCAAACUGCUUUUAAAUCUCCAUAGUCAAAAAAGAAGCAUACAUGGACCAAUAUUCUGAUAAACUCAAAAAACAUAUAAACAUAUAAAAGAACAUGCGCACGAUGCUGCAUAUUGUGAGAUGCUAUCAAGUGGUAGCUUGGAUUAUGAACCCUUUUCCCUGCAAGUAGUACACUCUCCUCCCACUUUAAUCACUAUAUUUCCUUCUUGGGGCGUCCCCAUAAAUAAAACUUCUCUAGUUUUUGUAGACAGCAAAUUUACAUAUUUGUCCUUCAGUCAUAUAUACCCAUAGCUGAGAGAGGAUCCACUAACAUUUACUGUUUUACAACUUUACACAAGAUUCCUACUUUCUUAAUCUACAGCAAAAAGAAGUAUAGCAAGUAAUAAAGUGGGAAGGAGGGGUUAUUUAAUUCACCUAUAAGCAUGUAAAAUUGCAAAUUUCUGCAAUCUCUUAGUUUUCACUCAUAAGAAUCUUUCCAUCUUAAAUUUCGGCUUCACUAAUAAGGAUCUUUCAAUCUAGUUAAGGAAAGAGUUUAACUACUCCAGAUCAUAAGCCCACCCCCUUUAUAUGACACGUGACACAUAAGGGUUUUUUUGAAUCCCUUAAAAUUCAAAUCACUAAUUGUGGGACCAAAUUCUCUAUACAAAUAGCUAUUUUUUAAAACUAACUAGCCGUUAGAGUGACUAAUUACAACUAAACACACACAUAGCUCUUGCCACCCAUUUAUAAACCCUAAAGAGAAUAUUCAUAGGAUGCAUUAUACAUGAUUUUGUUUCUUCAAGUG